AGAGGAGCUUGCUCUUCUUGGAUGAGUUGCGAACGGGUGAGUAACGCGUAGGUAACCUGCCUUGUAGCGGGGGAUAACUAUUGGAAACGAUAGCUAAUACCGCAUAACAAUGGAUGACACAUGUCAUUUAUUUGAAAGGGGCAAUUGUUCCACUACAAGAUGGACCUGCGUUGUAUUAGCUAGUAGGUGAGGUAAUGGCUCACCUAGGCGACGAUACAUAGCCGACCUGAGAGGGUGAUCGGCCACACUGGGACUGAGACACGGCCCAGACUCCUACGGGAGGCAGCAGUAGGGAAUCUUCGGCAAUGGGGGCAACCCUGACCGAGCAACGCCGCGUGAGUGAAGAAGGUUUUCGGAUCGUAAAGCUCUGUUGUAAGUCAAGAACGGGUGUGAGAGUGGAAAGUUCACACUGUGACGGUAGCUUACCAGAAAGGGACGGCUAACUACGUGCCAGCAGCCGCGGUAAUACGUAGGUCCCGAGCGUUGUCCGGAUUUAUUGGGCGUAAAGCGAGCGCAGGCGGUUUGAUAAGUCUGAAGUUAAAGGCUGUGGCUCAACCAUAGUUCGCUUUGGAAACUGUCAAACUUGAGUGCAGAAGGGGAGAGUGGAAUUCCAUGUGUAGCGGUGAAAUGCGUAGAUAUAUGGAGGAACACCGGUGGCGAAAGCGGCUCUCUGGUCUGUAACUGACGCUGAGGCUCGAAAGCGUGGGGAGCGAACAGGAUUAGAUACCCUGGUAGUCCACGCCGUAAACGAUGAGUGCUAGGUGUUGGAUCCUUUCCGGGAUUCAGUGCCGCAGCUAACGCAUUAAGCACUCCGCCUGGGGAGUACGACCGCAAGGUUGAAACUCAAAGGAAUUGACGGGGGCCCGCACAAGCGGUGGAGCAUGUGGUUUAAUUCGAAGCAACGCGAAGAACCUUACCAGGUCUUGACAUCCCGAUGCUAUUUCUAGAGAUAGAAAGUUACUUCGGUACAUCGGUGACAGGUGGUGCAUGGUUGUCGUCAGCUCGUGUCGUGAGAUGUUGGGUUAAGUCCCGCAACGAGCGCAACCCCUAUUGUUAGUUGCCAUCAUUCAGUUGGGCACUCUAGCGAGACUGCCGGUAAUAAACCGGAGGAAGGUGGGGAUGACGUCAAAUCAUCAUGCCCCUUAUGACCUGGGCUACACACGUGCUACAAUGGUUGGUACAACGAGUUGCGAGUCGGUGACGGCGAGCUAAUCUCUUAAAGCCAAUCUCAGUUCGGAUUGUAGGCUGCAACUCGCCUACAUGAAGUCGGAAUCGCUAGUAAUCGCGGAUCAGCACGCCGCGGUGAAUACGUUCCCGGGCCUUGUACACACCGCCCGUCACACCACGAGAGUUUGUAACACCCGAAGUCGGUGAG
rnacentral:rRNA from 1 species